CCUACGGGGGGCUGCAGUGGGGAAUAUUGGGCAAUGGGCGAAAGCCUGACCCAGCAACGCCGCGUGAAGGAAGAAGGCUCUCGGGUUGUAAACUUCCUUUGAUAGGGAAGAGCAGAAGACGGUACCUGUCGAAUAAGCCACGGCUAACUACGAGCCAGCAGCCGCGGGAAUACGGAGGUGGCAAGCGUUGUCCGGAUUUACUGGGUGUAAAGGGCGUGUAGCCGGGCUGACAAGUCAGAUGUGAAAUCCGGGGGCUCAACCCCCGAACUGCUGUUGAAACUGUUGGUCUUGAGUAUCGGAGAGGCAGGCGGAAUUCCUGGUGUAGCGGUGAAAUGCGUAGAUAUUAGGAAGAACACCAGUGGCGAAGGCAGCCUGCUGGACGACAACUGACGGUGAGGCACGAAAGCGUGGGGAGCAAACAGGAUUAGAUACCCCUGUAGUC
rnacentral:rRNA from 1 species